AGCGAACGCCGGCGGCGUGCUUAACACAUGCAAGUCGAGCGAAGGUGUUUCAAGGGUAACCUUGAGAUACACUUAGCGGCGGACGGGUGAGUAAUACGUGGAUAACUUACCUCUAGGCCUGGGAUAACCCCGGGAAACUGGGGCUAAUACCUGAUAAGACCACAUUGUCUACGGACAAAGGGGUAAAAGGUGGCUGUGCAAACAGCUAUCGCCAAAAGAUAGGUUCACGUCCCAUCAGGCAGUUGGGAGGU
rnacentral:rRNA from 1 species